rnacentral:sRNA from 2 species
GUAUUGAGAGCUUCAUAAUCACCCAACUGUGCAACAAAAUAUGUGUGGAGAGGCUGCAGAGGAUAUAUAAUGAUUUUGAACAAGUUACAGAGUUUCGCGGGUCGGGUUGAAAAAGUGGUGGGGGUAAACAGGUUCCUGGGUUUUUAGGGGCGCUUAGGCGCGCCUAUAGUGGAGAACAUGCCUCAAUUACUUAACUAGAUUUAGUUAAGCUUGGGCAUGGCCCCCCUAAGUGCGAGCGUGUUAUUUUCGUGGGUCGGGUUCACAACGCUAGUUCGUGAGUGGUUGUAAGGAUGACACCAGUGUAUGGUGUUUAUGCAUCUUGAGAGC